UAGGGAAUCUUCCACAAUGGACGAAAGUCUGAUGGAGCAACGCCGCGUGAGUGAAGAAGGGUUUCGGCUCGUAAAGCUCUGUUGGUAGUGAAGAAAGAUAGAGGUAGUAACUGGCCUUUAUUUGACGGUAAUUACUUAGAAAGUCACGGCUAACUACGUGCCAGCAGCCGCGGUAAUACGUAGGAUGCGAGCGUUAUCCGGAUUUAUUGGGUUUAAAGGGUGCGCAGGCGGCGUGCCAAGUCAGCGGUCAAAGUUCCGGGCUCAACCCGGUGAUGCCGUUGAAACUGGUGUGCUUGAGUGCGUGCGAGGGAGGCGGAAUGCGUUGUGUAGCGGUGAAAUGCAUAGAUAUGACGCAGAACUCCGAUUGCGAAGGCAGCUUUCCAGCACGCCACUGACGCUGAGGCACGAAAGCGUGGGGAUCGAACAGGAUUAGAUACCCUGGUAGU
rnacentral:rRNA from 1 species